rnacentral:lncRNA from 1 species
GAGAUGAUCCCACACCCUCUGAGCUGAAGCAUAAAAGGUCUGAAUAGAGAAUGUUCAGCAUCUUGACUGAAGGCAAACAUGUAUACCAAGAAACCUCCAGAGACGGUGCUGGAUGACAUGCGGAAAGCGCCUGAGCACGUUCUUCCAGAGAAGUCUUUGCAUUUGUAUGUUUCAGAUCAGCUAAUCAAACUCUCUUGGGUUCUGGGGGAGAAUUGGGAGGUGGCAUAGGAUAUGACUACUCCCUGUCUUGAUUUUGCUGAAUUGUCCAAAUGUACAAACUCUAUAUUGAAGAGUAAAUUUUGCUAUAUGUAAGUUAUACUUUAAUUAUAAAAAUACAAAUAAAUAUUGUAUGAUCAUUCCUUUUUGAGAUAUAAAACCAGAGCAGGCCAUCCCUGGCGCCACUAUUGAGGAAAGUCUAAGUGGAGUUCCCAUGAGAGAUGAAAUCAGGAGUGCUCUGUCUCAUCCCCCUAAGUCUGCCACCUUUACAAACUCAGUCUUACAGAAGAAGAGUAAAAUUUAUAGUUGU